rnacentral:pre_miRNA from 1 species
AUCUUAUUGGAUGACGACUGUCACAUGUCAUGUUCUGAUUGGUCAAUGAAAACAACAAUACAUUUCAUCUUUCAUAGAAUUGAUAUCCAAUCAAAACAUGACACGUGACAGUCAUCAUCC